UUUCAACAAUUCCCCAAGCUGUACUGA
rnacentral:piRNA from 1 species